GAUGAACGCUGGCGGCGUGCCUAAUACAUGCAAGUCGAGCGAACGGACGAGAAGCUUGCUUCUCUGAUGUUAGCGGCGGACGGGUGAGUAACACGUGGAUAACCUACCUAUAAGACUGGGAUAACUUCGGGAAACCGGAGCUAAUACCGGAUAAUAUUUUGAACCGCAUGGUUCAAAAGUGAAAGACGGUCUUGCUGUCACUUAUAGAUGGAUCCGCGCUGCAUUAGCUAGUUGGUAAGGUAACGGCUUACCAAGGCAACGAUGCAUAGCCGACCUGAGAGGGGGAUCGCCCACACUGGAACUGAGACACGGUCCAGACUCCUGCGGGAGGCAGCAGUAGGGAAUCUUCCGCAAUGGUGGAAAGCCUGACGGAGCAACGCCGCGUGAGUGAUGAAGGUCUUCGGAUCGUAAAACUCUGUUAUUAGGGAAGAACAUAUGUGUAAGUAACUGUGCACAGCUUGACGGUACCUAGUCAGAAAGCCACGGCUAACUACGUG
rnacentral:rRNA from 1 species